rnacentral:rRNA from 1 species
AGUGAACGCUGGCGGUAGGCCUAACACAUGCAAGUCGAACGGCAGCACAGUAAGAGCUUGCUCCUACGGGUGGCGAGUGGCGGACGGGUGAGGAAUACAUCGGAAUCUACUUUUUCGUGGGGGAUAACGUAGGGAAACUUACGCUAAUACCGCAUACGACCUACGGGUGAAAGCAGGGGAUCUUCGGACCUUGCGCGAUUGAAUGAGCCGAUGUCGGAUUAGCUAGUUGGCGGGGUAAAGGCCCACCAAGGCGACGAUCCGUAGCUGGUCUGAGAGGAUGAUCCGCCACCAGAGAACGGAGACCGGGUCCAGGCCCCUGGGGGGCGGCAGGAGGGGGAAAUUUGGAACAGGGGCGAAAAGCCUAGCCCGCCAACCCGGGUGGGAGGAAAAGGCCUUCGGGGUUGAAAGCCCUUUUUUUGGGAAAAAAAAGGCGGAAGUUAAUACCCCCGUUUUUAGGCGGUACCCAAAGAAAAAGACCCGGCAAACUUCG